rnacentral:lncRNA from 1 species
UUGAUCUUUUCUUCCCUAUUUUAAUCGAAUCAACCUCUUCCCUCUUCAAUUUAGCCGACUGUUUGUUUUUCAUUUAAAAGCUGAUUCAUACACUUUGGGGGUUUGAUUUCUUGUUGGUUAUCAAUCUCGCAAUCGAUAAGUGAACAAGAUCUUCUUUGGAUUUUGUUAAAUAUUUCUAAGUUCUUUCGUUUCUACACUCAUAAAAGCUGAUUCUUCUUUAUUCUUUAAAAAACUUUCGUUAACCUACGGUUUCUCCAUUUAUUUCUCUUUUCCCUCUCAUUCAAGAGUGUGAUCGCUGAUGGAAAAAGGGGGUUCUAGUAGAGAGGCUGGGAUAGAGGCUCCCAAGUUUAAGCGACGUAAGGUGUUAGUUGUUAGGGACUUUCCGCCUGGAUGCGGAAGGGGGACUACGUCAGAUUUUGAGUUACAUAGGCAGAUCCCAGUCGAUCAAUCUAGUCAAGGCAAGUAUAGGUGGUUCUUCGGUAAGUAGUGGAUUUAUUUUGAAUUAAUGGAAUGUGACUAAUGGAAUAUAACGUUGAAUGUAGGUUCAGGCGAUUAUGAAUACUUAGUAUGCCAAGUGAUAAGGUGUGUACUUCUACCCUAUGAUAACUUGAUAUAAAGCCGAAGGUGUGUACACACAUUGCACACACAAGUAGAUCGGCAAAAGCUGAAAUACCGAAAAGCUGAAAGUUUAACUACAGCAGUCUUGCGAGUGUGCGAACACUCAUGAGAUGGAAACUGAUAGGUUGUCUGAGGCCCCAUGAACGAUUCCAUGGGCUUGGGCUGUGAAUUGGCUAACCGGGCCAGAAUAGGCUUAAUGGGCCUAAUGGGCUGUUGGGCCCAUAAUAGGCAAAAGUUGAUAAUUGAUGCUAUGUGAUGAAAAAUUGUAUGUGAGCAUGACUAUAAAUGUGAAUUGGGCCUGAUGGGCUAUAUAAAAGUGAUUUGGGCCUAAUGGGCCAUAUAAAUGUGAUUAGGCCUAGUGGGCCAUAUACAGGUAUGUGAACUUGACUGGGCUUUGUAAGGGGUUUUGGGCCUAGUAUAUGAUGACUACAUAAAACUUAAUUAAGAUAUUGCGAUCGUGGACAAGUCAUAGGGUUAAAGUGUGGCAACGGGUAUAUGCAUGUCUAGGAUUGGAUUUUGGGAGAGCUUGGCACUUAAGCGGUCUUAAUGACUCACCUCCUCUUCUCUGGAAUCCUACCUGGUGCAUAGUAUUCAUUCAUCUUAGCUCACAGGAUUUGUUAACGGGCCAAGGUAAGUGAAAACUGUAAUAAAAAGAAAAAUUACCGAAAUGCCCCUAAGAGCGAAAAUGACCGAAAUACCCCUAGGUGUUGAAUGUAAUUUUUAUGGAUGUGACAUGCAUAUCUACUGCAUACAUAUGAUAUUCUGCUUAGGUUGUAUAUCGGUUAGGUAUUAUGGAACGAAGGAAGUAUAUGAGGAUCGCAUGGUUGCUUGACAAUCGUGGAUCCAUCGACGACUUUUAAGCCUAAUGUGUAAAUGAAGGUAGCUCCGCAACUGGGCUACUAUGGAUGUGUAUCAGUUGACUGGGUCGAUAUUUAUAUCCCCACAUGAUGUGUCGAGGGACGGAGCUGGUGUGUAGCGGAUGGAUUAUUGGGAUGGGAUUGCACUGCAUUGCAUUGCAUGUAUGAUAUUGUUGUGAUACUAUUGCGAUGUGGGCUUCGGCCCAAUCGAGGCUAAUUUGGGCUAAGGCCCAAAGACCACCGUUAUUGAAUUGGGCUCUGGCCCAAAAUGACUAUCGAUUGCUUUAUACUCAUUGAGGGUUGUACGCACUGAGUGUUCGAAACUCACCCCCUCAUUCUAAACUUUUCAGGUGAUCCUCAGUAGGUGGUUCGACGGAUGGAGGGACUCGGAGGUGGCCAACUAGCAUAAAAAGUUUAGACUUAGUCUUUAUGUAAUUUUUAAUAUAUUGACUUUAAAUUAUUUCUAUUUGCUUUGGGUUGUAACAAGGUCUUCCCUCUGGCUAAUAUUUCAAAUUAGGAGUA